ensembl:snRNA U6 U6 spliceosomal RNA
GUGCUCACUUUGGCAGCUCACACAUCAAAACGGAACCGCUACGGAGAAAAUUAGUGUGGCCCCUGUGCAGGGAACACAUGCAAUUUUGUGAAGUAUGCCAUAUUUAA